rnacentral:rRNA from 1 species
AUGCAAGUCGAACGGUAGAGGGGGCAACCCCUCGAGAGUGGCGAACGGGUGAGUAAUAUAUCGGAACGUGCCCAGUCGUGGGGGAUAACGUAGCGAAAGUUACGCUAAUACCGCAUACGAUCUACGGAUGAAAGCGGGGGAUCGCAAGACCUCGCGCGAUUGGAGCGGCCGAUAUCAGAUUAGGUAGUUGGUGGGGUAAAGGCUCACCAAGCCAACGAUCUGUAGCUGGUCUGAGAGGACGACCAGCCACACUGGAACUGAGACACGGUCCAGACUCCUACGGGAGGCAGCAGUGGGGAAUUUUGGACAAUGGACGCGAGUCUGAUCCAGCCAUUCCGCGUGCAGGAUGAAGGCCCUCGGGUUGUAAACUGCUUUUGUACGGAACGAAAAGGUUUCCAUUAAUACUGGGAGCUCAUGACGGUACCGUAAGAAUAAGCACCGGCUGACUACGUGCCAGCAGCCGCGGUAAUACGUAGGGUGCAAGCGUUAAUCGGAAUUACUGGGCGUAAAGCGUGCGCAGGCGGUUAUGUAAGACAGAGGUGAAAUCCCCGGGCUCAACCUGGGAACGGCCUUUGUGACUGCAUAGCUAGAGUACGGUAGAGGGGGAUGGAAUUCCGCGUGUAGCAGUGAAAUGCGUAGAUAUGCGGAGGAACACCGAUGGCGAAGGCAAUCCCCUGGACCUGUACUGACGCUCAUGCACGAAAGCGUGGGGAGCAAACAGGAUUAGAUACCC